UACGGGGGGGGCAAGCGUUGUUCGGAAUUACUGGGCGUAAAGGGCUCGUAGGUGGCCAACUAAGUCAGACGUGAAAUCCCCAGGCUCAACUUGGGAACUGCGUCUGAUACUGGAUGGCUUGAAUUCGGGAGAGGGAUGCAGAAUUCCAGGUGUAGCGGUGAAAUGCGUAGAUAUCUGGAGGAAUACCGGUGGCGAAGGCGGCAUCCUGGACCGAGUCUGACGCUGAGGCGCGAAAGCUAGGGGAGCAAACAGG
rnacentral:rRNA from 1 species